GUCUGAAUCAAUUGAUCGACAGUGGACUGGGUUUGGUUUGAUUGCUAUUACGUUGAUCCAGAUUUCUGUCCACACAGGUAGGUAAUAAAUCAUCUUGGGUCGGAUUUGAGCUUUCAUAGGAAUUUGAUGUUUGCUUUGAAGUGAGAUGACUAUCUUGAUUUUCUUUUUCCUUUUAUCAUGGUCUCCUUGUCUUUUCCAAACUCUCGUGCAGCCUCAUCAGGUCAGAGUCAACAGCUGGGUCCUGGAGAGAGAGGACUUCAUUGUGACAUCAGGAGUCAUGACCAGUGGCCAUGGCAGGUCUCCAGAGCGAGACAGCUGUGGCAUCUGAGGAGCACCGGCCACAUAACCAGAAGCCAGAGGAUCAGUGUUGGACUUCCGGGCCACCGAGCAAGUAAAUCUGCUGACUGCUUUUGGGCGAGGGGCUGGCUCGUGAAGCGGAUGGACUGCAGCUGGGCACGUCACUGGAGGAGCUGGGUUUUCCGACGCCUUCCGGUUAAGGCUUGCUAGAGUAAGUAGCAUGUUUCUGGGCACUUAAUUGUAGGGGCUGGACGCCUUCCGGUAAGGCUUACAGUGUGGGGUGGUGGAAUCCCUUUGGACAUUUAUUCGCAGCUCUGAAAGAACUUUGUGUAAUAAUGUCCUUCCUGAACAACCGUACCUUAAGUGUUUCUCUCAUGCAUUGGAACCUGUUCGCUUCCACAAUAAACUCUAUAAUUCAUUGCAACGGAUUAUGGAACCAGGAGGAAAAGUAGAGUGUGCAUAGGAGACUGAACCACAAAGGGAGAAUGGAAGGAAAAAGGCAGGAAGGCAGGAAGGACAUGGUAAGCCUGAUGUCAAAGGAGAAGCCCAAGAAAAAGAACUCUCCACUCACCAAAUCCUACCUGUGGGGAAAGGGAAGCAGUGGUUAGACAGGAAAUUAAAAAUACCCAGCAGGUAUUUCUGUUCUCUGCAGUUGUAGAAAGGCCAGGACAUGCACUGUGAUAAAGCACCACAAACGGAAGAAUCUAACCCUCGUGCUACCAUCUGGGUGAAAUGAAAGAUGAAAUGCAAAUGUGAAUAUGUACUUGUGUUGAUGUGCAGUAAAGAGUACAAGUAGACCCAAAGAAGGAUUAAAUCUGGUUUCCACGCUAAGGAGUGAUAGGGAGAAGGAGGAAGGAGGACCAAGCUGGGAGGGGAACUAGUGCCGCUCCCAGAAGGCAGAGCGCACUUGGUCUAGCACCUUGGGAGUGUGCCCGAUAGUCCACAACUGUCGUCUCUGGAAAAAUCAGAUGCGUCUUUCUCUGAGAGUUCUGCACUAUUUUAUAAAGAAGAAGCCCUGGAGAAAGAUUUGAAUGGUGAUAUAUAGUAAUACCUAUAUUUCUCUAAGAAAGAAUAACACAUUGAUUUUAUAAUGCAGAUGAUUUGUAACAGUUUAUAACCUACUCAAUGCUUUUAAAAAACAGAUAUGCGCAAGGAAAUUGACCUACUUUUGUCUACAUAUGCAAAGAUCUUAAGGCAAGUGCUUAUAUUUUCCUUUAUCUCCAAGUAUUGUUAGAAGUUUUCUUUGGGGACAUUCUGUUGAGUUCUGUUUCUUCUCCAGUGAAGAUAACACGUUGUGAAUGCCCUAGAGCGUCAGAGUAGUGUUGUUCUCCACCUUUUUAAAGCCAAAAUGGUGGCUCAUUCCACUACUGACAUUUUUGGGUAGAAAAAAAGAAGAAGUUUUCUUCUGGAAAUGCUAUAAUACGAAGUUUAGAUUAAUGCUGAAAAACUAUUCAGUAAUUUAAAAUAAUCUUUUAAUUCUGUCUCCAUUUCUAAAAGUAGAUUAGUUAAUAACUUAACGUCCCUAAAAUUAACCCAAAGUUUCCCACUAAACAUCUUUUGCUUUCCUGUUUCCUGAAAUUGAUGGUAAGAGGAAUAUUGAAGGUAAAUAAAUAUUUACUUCAUAUAUUUAUAUUUAUAUAGAUAUCUUUGAAAGUAGCAUUUAAGUAUUGAGUUGACCUGUGAUGAUUUGUCUUAUGAGGCCAUUUUAUAAACUACUAGGCAGUUAGUGUAUUUGAAUAAUAGUUUGUGUGACCGUAUAGCUGUUAAAGGAAUAUAUAUAUAACCAAAAUGUAUAUAAUAUUAAAGUAGUUUAAUAUUACAGGUAUAAUAUAUAAGAUAUAGUUUAAUAUUAGAGCUAUAAUGUGUAAGAUAUGUUUUCUGUGGUGUGGAGACCUGUGAUACAGUCAAAACUAGCUGUGGGAUUAAUUUAAUGUUUCCUGGAAUGACUAAGUUAAUGAAACCUUUUGGCGCACAAAACCGUAUCAGUAAAUGAUGAUGUAUUAGGACUUUAUAACUAUUACACAAAACUUCUUUCUCCAUUAGUGAGAGAGCAGCAGUAGAUGCGUGUUACAUUGAUGGGCUAGAUGAACUCUCCAACGAAGCCAAUACUACCAUUGAAAACGUUCUACUACGAAGGAGAAAAUUCCUGAGAGAGGUUUAUAGUGAUCGCAAACACAUUGCACAGUUAGAUUUUUGUAUUUAAAAUAAGCUAAGAAUGUAAGCUUUGAAUACCAUUAUUAUUGUAAUAAAAAAUGACAUUUAUCCUCUGAAAGCUCUCCAGUUUUAAAAGAAAAUAUCUACCUUCAACAGAAGGAGACACACCUUAAAUUUCUACAUUUAAAAGAGGCUUUAAAAUGGACAUACAUAUAAAGAAGGUUGUUUUAUUUGGAGGGUUGAAUAUUUGACACCUGUUGGAAAAGUGUGAAUUAAAGCUUAUUUGGAUUCCUUUUGUCUCUUAAGCCUUCUGGCCUUUUCUUAAACUUGUAAUGGGGAAUCAAUGAGUUAAGUUGUACUACUAUGUAUGCUUUAAUUUAUGUUAUGUUUUGAACUAGCAGAUAGCUUUUGAGAUCAUUAAAUUUUUUAAUGCUGGCUAUUAAAAAUUAAAAUCUGAAAGGUAAUUUUCUGGUUUUCUCAACAUGUAAUGACAUAACUGUAUCCUGUGUAAUAUAAUCAUUUGGUUAUUAUUUUUAAAUUUAUUUAAAAUUAUUUUUUGUGCUAGAAGUACUUUAAAAAUAAAAGCCAGAAAUAUUCACCAGAAAAAAAAUCCAUUUUUGUAUGUGUCGAUUAAAACUUAGAAGCUGCUUUCUUCCUGUUUGCUUGUUCAGUAGGCCCAUCUACAAACAUUCUUUCAAAAGUCAAUGAUUUCUACGAAGCUCCUGAAGAAAUUGCAUUGCCACCUUCUCUAUUUCUAUAGACGGCUCAGUCGAACACGUGUUACGUUGUACCUGUGAAAGCAGAGUCACUUCGAAAGAAACGAAGCCGGUCGCCCUUGUAAGGGACAGCAGCCUGAUGCAUCACCACAUACCGGAUAUGGAGAGGUCAGAGGCCUUGAGGCAGACCAGCCAGGAUCUUACCAAGUGGGGACAUAGUUGAACCCCAGCCAACCAGGGACCACCACUUGAGUCCCAGCCAAGCAGGGGCAACUGCAGUCUUUUCUGGAAAAAGCCAUCCCUGAGCCCAAGAGCUCCUGCCAGACAUCUAAAAAGGGCCUGGAAUUUCUGGGUGGUGUCUCACUCCCUUUGCCUUUUGUGUACUGCGGACCCUCUGGGGGACUGUCCCGAGUGUAUCCUGACUUAACUGCUCAAUGAAGUGGACAGAAGAAAACAGGGCUUGGUGUCACUGCAAUGAAA